rnacentral:miRNA from 1 species
CCGGAAGAGAAUUCCCACCUUAACC